GCUUUUCCACUUCCAUUCCUAAACUGUUGACAAAGGCAAAAGACUUCAGAAGAGGUCUUUUCUUGAGGAGAGGUCACCUAUUACAUACUUACUAAUCAACAGUGAGAUGGACAUGACCCAAGUGAGCAAAAACGGAUGUGUGCAUUUCACAAGCCUUCAGCAACUAUAUAUUGAUUACCCUGAGGCCAUUGCUCUGUUGCUGUCAGCACCAGCCUACUUCUUCAGUCAGUUCCCCUGAAAGCGUCUGCAGGCCAGUGCCCAUCCACCCAUUCCUCAAAGCACCAGAAACCUGCUUUGUUAAGGUGCUCCUGCAUCAGCCCCAUGCUGUGCACGUUUGUCCUUCAUCUUCCCAUGUACUGCUCGGCCUGCCUAACAGAAGCUUUUUGGGAUCCCAGAUCCCACAAUCUGGCUUUAGUUUGUUCUCCCUAAAUUGCUAAGCUGCAAAAAGGCAUGUCCUCCCAUCCCACUGUGGUCUCCUGGAGUUUGGACACCAGGUCCUUUUUGACUAAGACACUCUUCUCCAUCCUACCC
rnacentral:lncRNA from 13 species